GUCAAAGAGAGGACAGAGAAGGAACAUCUUGUUGCUGUCUUACUUGAAAUACCAGAUAAGUUCAGGGUUCAAUAAAGGAAGAAGAAAUGCCAGAGGUAGAAAUUGACAUUGAUGAUCUUCUUGAUGCAGACAGUGAUGAAGAGAGAGCUUCAAAAUUACAGGAAGCUCUUGUAGACUGCUACAAACCAACAGAGGAAUUUAUCAAAGAGCUGCUUUCUCGGAUAAGAGGCAUGAGGAAACUGAGCCCUCCGCAGAAGAAGAGUGUAUGAUUCUGGAACAGGGUGAAACUCUCCCAGAGACGAAGAAAGAGUCCUGGGAUUUGUACUUCAUGAAGACUUUUGUGAAAGAAUAGGUGUCCUUAUGAACAACGUUUUUGUUUUUUUUUUUUUCUUUUUUGGUGUGAAGGUGGGGGGGUCUAUUAGACAUUUAUUCAAGAGCGUUCUUUUUUUGGUUUUAAAGGUUUUUGUUAAUGUAAUAUUUUAAUAGCAAAGAUAUCAUGACUCUAGCCACAGCCUAACCAAGGAUUAUCAAAGGAGGUGGACACUCAAGGAAGGGCCACGCCAGGCUGCGUUUCCUGCAAGGACUCAGAUGUUCAGUACCUUAUGAUACAGGGAAGAUAGUUUUCUUACAAGUAGUUUGGUAAUAUUUUUUUUCUUAAGUUGUACAUUUGACUCAGCUGUCAAAUUUCUCACACUUGUAUAUAUCUACACACAACUAAGUUAAAAUGUUGAUGUGAGUUUUAUUUCACAUGGAUGGAAUAAACUUGUGGUUGUCCUUUAACUGGAGGUCCCAGCACAUGUGUUUUCAAGAGGCCACUAGGCAUUCUUCACUGAGUGCUGCUGACUUCAACGUUCACUUUAUGCACCAAAGUGAAAGAAUUCAGUGUAUCCGUUAUUUUAAUGCACUACACCACAGAAAUGUUAAGUUGGUCAAGGGCUUAAUUUAUGGAAUUUCUAUUAUUUCAUUGGUUGGGAUGCUUUGCCAGGUCAUGUGCUUAUUGUCUCAUUUUGUAGUCUUUUAAAGUUGUAUGAACCCUUAAUUUGAAGAACUAACUUGAUUUCUAGAGAAAUAUCCACACUAUCUCAGUGGUAUUUUGCAUUGG
rnacentral:lncRNA from 10 species